AACAAACGCUGGCGGCGUGCCUAAUACAUGCAAGUCGAACGGGGAAAGUAGCAAUACGAGUACUAGUGGCGCACGGGUGAGGAAUACAUGGGUAAUCUGCCCUCGAGCUCGGGAUAACCAGUCGAAAGACUGGCUAAUACCGGAUAUGACCACAAGAUCUGAGGAUCAAGGGGUAAAAAGGUUUUUCGCUUGAGGAUGAGCCCAUGUGGGAUUAGCUAGUUGGUGUAGGUAACGGCUCACCAAGGCGACGAUCCCUAACUGGUCUUAGAGGAUGAUCAGUCACACUGGAACUGAGACACGGUCCAGACUCCUACGGGAGGCAGCAGUAGGGAAUAUUGGACAAUGGGCGCAAGCCUGAUCCAGCAAUGCCGCGUGAGUGAUGAAGGCCUUAGGGUUGUAAAGCUCUUUCACCGGGGAAGAUAAUGACGGUACCCGGAGAAGAAGCCCCGGCUAACCUCCGUGCCAGCAGCCGCGGUAU
rnacentral:rRNA from 1 species